rnacentral:rRNA from 1 species
AUGGUGGAUGCACCUCUGUACAAGCAGCGCCGCAGAUACACCAUGGAGCUCCACGACGUCGACCUCCACGACAACCACAAGCUCCACGUCGUUUGCACAAGCAAGGGUCAAGCCGUGGACAAGAUGUUGUCCACGCUCAGGAGGAAGCUCGGCGGAAUGCCCGUCAAACUAGUCGGCGUUGAUGUCGAGUACACGCACUACGUGAAGCCACAACGGGCAGCAGUGCUCCAGCUAUGCGUAGAAAAAGAAUGCCUUGUCUACCAUAUCUCUGCAGCUAAAGACAAGCCAAUGGAACUAGACAAAUUCGUCAUGAAUGCUGAGUACACCUUCGUCAGAUUCACCAUUGAAGGAGACAAAAGCAAGAUGAAUCUAUCUGGCUUGGAGAUCAACUCCGACAACUACAUUGAUAUUCAGGUGGAAUGGAGAGACCCAUACAAUAAAAAGGAGUUUCACUCUUUGGCUGAUGUUGCCGGCAGGAUGAUAGACAUUCACUACCAUGACAUGAAGAAAAAAAAUUAA